UACGUAGGGUGCGAGCGUUAAUCGGAAUUACUGGGCGUAAAGCGUGCGCAGGCGGCGCGUUAAGACAGGUGUGAAAGCCCCGAGCUUAACUUGGGAAUUGCGCUUGUGACUGGCGUGCUGGAGUGUGGCAGAGGGAGGUGGAAUUCCACGUGUAGCAGUGAAAUGCGUAGAGAUGUGGAGGAACACCGAUGGCGAAGGCAGCCUCCUGGGGGCACUCUUGACGCUGAGGCGCGAAAGCUGGGGGAGCGAACGGG
rnacentral:rRNA from 1 species